rnacentral:rRNA from 1 species
UACGAAGGGAGCUAGCGUUGUUCGGAAUCACUGGGCGUAAAGCGCACGUAGGCGGAUGUGUCAGUCAGGGGUGAAAUCCCGGAGCUCAACUUCGGAACUGCCUUUGAUACAGCACGUCUUGAGUCCGAUAGAGGUGGGUGGAAUUCCUAGUGUAGAGGUGAAAUUCGUAGAUAUUAGGGAGAACACCGGUGGCGAAGGCGGCCCACUGGAUCGGUACUGACGCUGAGGUGCGAAAGCGUGGGGAGCAAACAGG